AUGACGUGCGUAAGGCUGUGUCCGCGUCCGCGUCGUCAACCCCAUCCACGGGUUCCCAGGUGGACGAUCCAUCGACGGCGGUGCUACACACACCUGCCGUGCGGAACGGGCCUCCACCACCACCACCCGAUCCGCGCGUCGCAUCUUCGCCAAGCGCCCUGCCCAUACCGCAGACUAUCGCGGGGUCAGCGCCGCUCGCACGGCUCACAAACGAAGGGCCGCCACUUCUAUCCAAGCCAGAUGACCAGAUCGGGUUGCCGGAGCGGGGGUUUCAGUCAGCACCAGCGCCACGGGAGGAGUACUCCGUCAGGCCACCCAAACAUCAUUGAUGGUGUUGCCCCCCGUGUUUGGCUGGAUCGUUGCUUGGCUUACUUUGAGCUCUACCAUGUGCCACAACACAACUGGGUGGCAACAUCAGCACUCUACGUCGAAGGCCAUGCCGCUCUCUGGCUUCGGGCCUUCCGUCAGACGCAUCCAGUGAUCACUUGGGAUUUGUUUCGCCGGGCAGUGGAAGAGGAAUUCGGCCCUGAGAAGUUCGAGUCCUCGAUGCAUGAUUUGUUGCAGCUUCGACAGACAGGCACAGUCGCAGAGUACAGGCAGCAAUUUGAGGUGCACAUGUACAACAUGAUCGCACUCGACGCCACAUUGAGCUCCAAAUUUUUUGUCACCCAAUUUUUGCUCGGCCUCAAAGAUGAAUUGCGAGCCGCGGUGCGCAUCCAAGCACCGACCAGCAUUACCAGAGCCACCGUAUUUGCACGCAUACAGGAGGAGGAAUUGGACAUUCAGCGCCCUCGCCUACGACCCGCUUCUGCAGGACGGCCACCGCCACUGCCUAGCGUGCCACCGGCGUUGGGACGUCCUCCCCCAACACCAUCAGUGCCACCUGCCACUUUAGUACCCCGCGUCAUUCCGGCACCUAAGCAAGCCCCGGACGACUUCGGGCGCGAGCGGCAGCUGCGAGACUACAAACGCCAGCAUGGCCUCUGUUUUCGUUGUGGCGACAAAUACUCCAGGGUCCAUCAAUGCAAACGCUCAGCGCAGUUGCUCACAAUAGAGGUGGGUGAUCAUGGGGAAGUGCUAUCUGACGAAGCCGUGCACGCGCUGCAGUUACUGGAUGAGCCAGACGGGGCUGCAGAGCCCGCGUGCUGCCUUCUUUCUGCACACGCGGUGGAAGGCACGGAAACAGCGGAAACCAUUCGCCUGCGAGCAACUGUGGGUAACCAGACGAUGCUGCUGUUGGUGGACUCGGGGAGCACGCACAGUGUUGUCAAUUCAACAUUUGCUGUCAGAAUUGGAGCAACGACAACACCCAUUCCUUCCAUUGCUGUACGGGUAGCCAAUGGCCAGCGACUGAACUGCAUAGCCAUGGUACCGCAGCUCCAGUGGUGCAGUCAGGAACACACAUUCAGCACAGAUAUGCGUGUGCUGGACUUGGGCGUCUAUGAUGCAGUUCUCGGCGUCGACUGGCUAGCGCAACAUAGCCCCAUGAAGUGUGAUUGGCAGUUGAAAACAAUGCAAUUCGAGCGUGAUGGUACAGCAGUACACCUACAGGGAGUUAGAUCGGAUGAAUCGCCAACCCUUACUGCUUUGGAUGCUGCUUCUCUUUGGCAAAUGCAUGAUGCAAACGAGAUUUGGGGGGCUGCUUUAAUAGAACUCCAAAUGGCGCCAAUACCAGAUUCCGCAACAGCUCAACCACCACCAGUUGUGAUCCAACGCAUUCUAACGGAGUUCAGUGAUGUCUUUGCUGAACCUACAGGAUUACCUCCCCGCCGUCAAUACGACCAUGCUAUCACUCUAGAACCGGGGGCCACACCAAUCAACUGUCGCCCGUACCGUUAUUCUCCGUUGCAGAAAGACGAGAUAGAGCGUCAGGUUACGGAAAUGCUGUGGACAGGGAUCAUUACUCAUAGUAUGAGUCCCUACGCCGCUCCUGUACUCCUGGUGAAAAAGAAGGAUGGAACCUGGCGCUUCUGCGUAGAUUACAGACGCCUGAACAUGGUGACCAUCAAAAACAGAUUUCCCCUUCCCAUCAUCGACGAGCUACUAGAUGAACUUGCUGGCGCCGCCUUCUUUUCCAAGAUCGAUCUGUGA
rnacentral:rRNA from 1 species